UCCGACUCGUUGAAGAAUAAUUCCUCCAGUACGGGGGCUGAUGGGGCCUGCAUCUGAUGGUCAGUCUCAGAGGACGGAGAGAGCAGCAGACUGAGGGUCCUCCUCUCAACAUCUCUCCUCUGGUCCUUUCCUCCAGUGACUCUGACCAUAAAGACACACAGUCUUCCAUCUGAUGGUCAGUCUCAGCGGACGGAGAGAGCAGCAGACUGAGGGUCCUCCUCUCAACAUCUCUCCUCUGGUCCUUUCCUCCAGUGACUCUGACCAUAAAGACACACAGUCUUCCAUCUGAUGGUCAGUCUCAGCGGACGGAGAGAGCAGCAGACUGAGGGUCCUCCUCUCAACAUUCCUCCUCUGGUCCUUUCCUCCAGUGACUCUGACCAUAAAGACACACAGUCUUCCAUCUGAUGGUCAGUCUCAGCGGACGGAGAGAGCAGCAGACUGAGGGUCCUCCUCUCAACAUCCCUCCUCUGGUCCUUUCCUCCAGUGACUCUGACCAUAAAGACACACAGUCUUCCAUCUGAUGGUCAGUUUCAGAGGACGGAGAGAGCAGCAGACUGAGGGUCCUCCUCUCAACAUCCCUCCUCUGUUCCUUUCCUCCAGUGACUCUGACCAUAAAGACACACAGUCUUCCAUCUGAUGGAGAAACUCCAGUCUCACCACAUUAUUUCUGCCUCAGGAACAAAUUCAUGUUACUGCUAUGAACAGAGAAAGUUAAUAUUCCUCCAUAUUAAAAAUAACCAAGCUGCUAAUAACAACAACACAAGCCUGUAGAGACACUUUCCUGCUCAUUGUUGUAGCGCUGAGAGGAAACAGGAAGAACGCUCAUUUUAUACCUUCUAAAAGUGAUGAAUACAAAGUGUUGACAGUGUUGAAUACAAAGUGUUGACAGUGCUGACAGUAUUGACAGUGCUGACAGUGUUGACAGUGUUGGCAGUGUUGGCAGUGCUGACAGUGUUGACAGUGCUGACAGUGUUGACAGUAUUGACAGUGCUGACAGUAUUGACAGUGCUGACAGUGUUGACAGUAUUGACAGUGCUGACAGUGUUGGCAGUGUUGGCAGUGCUGACAGUGUUGACAGUGCUGACAGUGUUGACAGUGUUGACAGUGAUGACAGUGAUGACAGUGUUGACAGUGCUGACAGUGUUGGCAGUGUUGGCAGUGCUGACAGUGUUGACAGUGUUGACAGUGUUGACAGUAUUGACAGUGCUGACAGUAUGACAGUGUUGACAGUGAUGACAGUGUUGACAGUGCUGACAGUGCUGACAGUAUUGACAGUGCUGACAGUGUUGACAGUAUUGACAGUGCUGACAGUGUUGACAGUGCUGAUAGUGCUGACAGUGUUGACAGUGUUGACAGUGUUGACAAAAAAGUUGAACAUGAACUUCCUCAUGAAAACAGCAGCUAUUUGCUGUGUUGUUGACAGUUUCCCCUUGUCCUGGUUUUAAACCUUUGUUUUAUGGCGUUACGGUAAUCUGAGCCAUCCCAUUGGCCAGCGGUAAAACUAUAGUGCACUUGAUUUGCUCUCUGGUCCAAAAGGGAGGCAGUUUGUACAUUCAGACACAUGAAAUGCUUCAGAAUGACAACAGUAGGGCUUUUCCGGCGCGCAGGGCAGCUGAAUCAGGUGCACCUACCCGUCUCUACUCCAAAACCAACCAUAUCUGGUUAGUAGAGACCCUACUGAGUAUUUCCAUCCCACCUUAGCUGAGACAGGUAGAAAAUAUUUCUCUCUACUAGCCAAUAAGUAUCCCAUAUACUGUGUAUUGCAUUGCAGUGAAUGGAGUGGGUUGAGUAAGGAGUCAUCAGUAGUCUGUAUUAAACACGUUGUCCAGCACAAGAGACCCAUUUACAUUAAACAGACUAUAUUGACUAAUU